ACGGGCUGGAACCUCUCGGGGUUACAGCCUUGCUGAAUUAUUCACCCUUGUCUUUUGCGUACUUCUUGUUUCCUUGGUGGGUUCGCCCACCACUAGGACAAACAUAAACCUUUUGUAAUUGCAAUCAGCGUCAGUAACAAAUUAAUAAUUACAACUUUCAACAACGGAUCUCUUGGUUCUGGCAUCGAUGAAGAACGCAGCGAAAUGCGAUAAGUAGUGUGAAUUGCAGAAUUCAGUGAAUCAUCGAAUCUUUGAACGCACAUUGCGCCCUUUGGUAUUCCAAAGGGCAUGCCUGUUCGAGCGUCAUUUGUACCCUCAAGCUUUGCUUGGUGUUGGGCGUCUUGUCUCUAGCUUUGCUGGAGACUCGCCUUAAAGUAAUUGGCAGCCGGCCUACUGGUUUCGGAGCGCAGCACAAGUCGCACUCUCUAUCAGCAAAGGUCUAGCAUCCAUUAAGCCUUUUUUUCAACUUUUGACCUCGGAUCAGGUAGGGAUACCCGCUGAACUUAAGCAUAUAAA
rnacentral:rRNA from 1 species